CUCACGUGGACGACUUCCACAGCAGCUCUCUCACCAACGGAGCCGCUAAGAACAACUGGUUGAAUCUUUCUCAGAACGAGCUUCAGAUACAUCCUUACAUAUCCAAAAUAAAGGGAAAGAUGGAGAAUCAAGGAUUGAUCUGCAGAGGCAAUACCUUCAGUGACCAUGCAAGCAACCAGUUAUAGGGAGAAAAACAGAGUCCACUAGGAAUCGCCUGCUAAUGCAAGAGAAGCUGCCCCAACAACUGUCACUGGUGAUAAGUACAUUGAGAGGUCAACUUUCAGCUGUGUAGCAACACAUCUUUCGCCUCGUCAGAACAUUCAACCUCUAAGUCCUGGAACUAAGAAAGAGCCAAGCAUGGAGGCGGAGGAUCUGCAGGUUGGGGUGAAGGAUCAGGCUGUCAUUUUGAGAGAGUAGAUGAAGAAUGGGCCAAAGAGGAACCGGAGUACAUACUGCCAUCUGUUCCAGGAUUUUGGCUAGAAGAGGAAAUGGGGGGAAGGCAUACAAGAAGUACCUGUCCCAUGGGAGGAUGAUGGUGUCUCCCAGUGAAUGGUUCCAUAGACUCGACCUGGAGGACAUUUCAUGUUCUGGUGACUGGGACUGGGGCUUCAGAGUGGCGUCCAAUAAGGAGAAGAGGAGGACAGUGCAUCAUAUGGGUACUGCUAUCAACAAUCUCCAAUCCCAGGCACAGAAGGUGCUGCCACACCUACAGUGGAGCACCCAUAGGGACACUACUCAAAAGAAGAAUGUAAGUAUUUUAAUGCUAGACCGGUCUUGACAAGUCACAGGUUUGCUAUUAGAUUUAAAAGCAUUAAAAAAGUUAAUUAUGCAAUAGCAUUCACAAAAGUUAUCAACUUCAAAUUAUGUGGGGAGAAUUCUUAUGUUAUUAAAUUAUAUGUAGUGACAAACAAAAUAAGCACUUUACAAAAACACUGAAUAAGACCCAUUCUCUGGCACAAACAGUUUAUGCCACUGUCAAGACAAAAAAUUGAGACCACUAUUCAGGUAACCGCAGAUGUAGAUAGAUCGUUAACAAGACAACCAAAAUCAGAACAUAUCAUGGAGUAGGUGGUUUUAUGGACUGAUUUGAAGAAGUGACUGCAACUGUACAAGGUUCAGGAGUCGUCCUACUGGACACUUUCCAGAUUGUCUAUGAAACUCUACCCUUAUCUUGCUACUUAUCUUGCAUGGAAUGGAGUUUGCUUAUGUCUUCCAUAAUGGAAGGACCCUUUGUCUUGAUUGAGUGCAAUACCAAAGAACAUAGGUGAAAUCCUGGUCCCAGUUAAAUGAAUGGGAGUUUUGCCAUUGGACUUCAGUGAGCCCAGGAUUUCAUAAUAUAUCGUCUAAUCUGGUUUAGACCUAAACUGAACUGGAAGCUAACCUUAUUUGUACUUCAAGUCCUUUUCACAGUGUAGGGAAAAGGUGGUGAACAUGAAACUGUUUUUCCUUCAGACAUCUACAGCUUAUGCUCCCACAUUCAUUUGCUUAUUUUGCAGCUGUUUAGUUGUUCUUGUUUGGAGUUACAGUAAGAAGCGGAGACUUGCCUUACAGGGAGUAUUAUGGCUCAUAUUUGGGGGAGGAGAGGAGAGAAAGGUCAUGGCAGGGAAGAAAAGGAUUAAGGCUGUCUCCAACUGAAAGAAAGAUUUGAGAAGUCUUCAGAAACUGUUAAAAUGGAAAAUCUUGUUUUAAGUAUGGACAUAUUUGGUCAAAUUGUGAAAAAGAGUCUUAUUAAGAGACUACUUGCCAUUAGAAAGGAAAGGUGAGCUGGAAUCCAGAGGCAUAGCAGGUAUCUUCAUUUUUUCACUACACUCAAGAUCCAAUUUCUUACAUUCAGAUAUGGAGCUUUGCUUUGGCAUCACAUAAUAGUAAGAUGGAGCAUAUUUUGAAGAGCUGCAACCUUGAAAUGAAAAACAGUCACACAGUAAAGGAUUGUCUCUUUCUUGAUACAGAUAUUUAGACAAACUUUAUUAUCUCUGGCAUUAAACACACACCUCUUUUCUUGCGAGACUCCUGAAUUUCUUCACACAGUUGUUCAAAGUCUUCAUCCAUUUCUUCCUUAACUAUUGCAUAUGCUGUAUCUCUCAGAGUACAGGCUCUAUGUCUGAUGAGACGAUCUGAAAGUUAAUGGACAGAACUAAAUACUUUCCAACGUUAUUUGCUUUCAUCACAAACAAAAGUUCAACUCUUCACUAUUAAUUACAUUUGUGUUUUGAAAAGAUUGUUUCAGUUUAUAAUUUUAGCAUAACAUAUUAUGUAAUAGGGCAACGUAGAAAGGAUAGCAAAAAUUAAACCAGAAGAAAAUGCUUCAGGCACAAAGUUUAACACAACAAUACUUAAAAUCUAGUCAGCAAUGUUCCCUAGUGGACAAGUUAUUUAAUCCACAAUAUUAAAGCUACAGUAUUGUUACCCUAUACAUUUUUAAAGGUUGUUUACAGUAAUGGAAUAAAAUGAAUCCUCACCUCCUGG